AAAUCCUUGGUGUGUCAUCGAGGAUAACGUAAGGGAAAAUAAUGAUAUUACCUUACUAUUAGUGUCGUCCAAAAGCUCGUGCCAGAAGACUCGGUAAGACGAGAGACACGAACGUUAAUCGUCUUGAUCAGGCGUAAAGGGUUUGUAGGCGGCUUUAAGUAUUCAAUAUUAAGUUUACGAUGAGAAUAUUUUUUUUUUAUAUUUUAAUCUUUAUUAUAGGAUCAAUUAAAGCUAGAAUCUAAUAGGGGUUAAAACAAUACUUACAGUAGGUGUACAAACCACAGAUAGUAAGUAGAGUGUUAAGGGCGAAGGCAUUUAUCCACUGAAGAUUGACGCUGAGAAACGAAGGUGAGGACAGAAAAAAGGAUUAGAGACCCUUGUAUCCCUCACUGUCAACGAUGAAUGGUAGUUACUAGGGAGAAAAUGACCUAGAGGCGAUGUUAACACGAAAACCAUUCCGCCUUGUGAGUACGACUGCAAAGUUAAAAACAAAAAAAUUA
rnacentral:rRNA from 1 species